AGGGGCGUAGUUCCAACGGCAGAACAGCGGUCUCCAAAACCGACGGUUGGGGGUUCGAAUCCCUCCGCCCCUGCCA
rnacentral:tRNA from 2 species